CUCACGACUUUGCACUUGCCAGGCAGGUGCUGUGCCACUGAGCUAAAUCCCCAGCCCCCACAACCCUUCUUCAGGUGACAUGACAGUUUCCUUGGUUUUUGCAGUGGACAUCAUCCAGGAAGUCUGAGUCUGCAGAGCUUAUGUCCAGCCAAGCAAUUCUUUGCAAGAUAAUUACAGUAAAUACGGAGUCUGAUCGUCUCCUUCCCUAGCCUCCUGCGAAGUCACUAAAUUGGGCAGCCUGGGCUCAAACUUGAGAUCCUCCUGCCUCAGCUUCCCGGAGUGCUGGGAUUACAGCCUGCACACCGAGACUCCUUACCUUACUGAGAGGUACAGCGGCACGUUAGAAAACUGACAACUCCAGAGAAUUUAAAUACUUGCCAGGAGCUACAAUUUCACACUCACGGAUGCUGAGCACCCCUGCGCCAUUCUGCAAGCCCAUGGGGACGCACCGUCCUCCCGCGGUAUCUGCCCGGACGAGUUCCAGGACGCCCUUGGGUUCAGGCCCAUCUGUAAAAUGCCUCCAUGAGGGCAGGCGAGUUGGCUCAUGCCUGUCAUCUCAGCAUUCAGGGGGCUGAAGCAGGAGGA